ACUUCUCUGCCACUGUAGUAGAAACCCUAUUGCUAAGAGAAACCAAAAGCACUUUUCCAACUCCUCAUUCACAAGGCGACUUUCAAAAGAGCAAAACAUUUGUCUGAAAUCUUUUCUCACAAGGACUGCAAGACUUGAGGUUUGCAACAAUUCUAGACCGUGCUAACAGUUUCUCUUCUCUGCAGUGAUCAGCUAUAGAGAUUAUCUACAAACUGAUGAUGAAUCUCACACAGAAUAUGUCACCAUUACAAAAGUCUGAAUUGUCACAAAUCACCACCCAAGGAGACCAGUUAAAGAGAGCAAAUGUAGACGAACUCAUUAAAAAGAACAAGUUUUAUUGUGAGCUUGUACAGGAGUGUGGAGGUGGACUUUAUGUAUUCAAAAACAAAGACCUGGGGAACAGAGAUCAGGUCUGUGAGCUGCUGCAGAAGAUAGACAGAAUGAUUGAGAACAAUGGAGGAAGCAGUAAGACGUUUGAUGAAGCAAAAAAAAUUCGACAGGAGGAGGAGAAGAAUGGAGGUGAAAACAGGAUGAAGAGAAUGGAGGA